rnacentral:rRNA from 1 species
AACGAACGCUGGCGGCAUGCCUAACACAUGCAAGUCGAACGAGACCUUCGGGUCUAGUGGCGCACGGGUGCGUAACGCGUGGGAACCUGCCCUUAGGUUCGGAAUAACUCCCCGAAAGGGGUGCUAAUACCGGAUAAUGUCUUCGGACCAAAGAUUUAUCGCCUUUGGAUGGGCCCGCGUUGGAUUAGCUAGUUGGUAGGGUAAAAGCCUACCAAGGCGACGUUCCAUAGCUGGUCUGAGAGGAUGAUCAGCCACACUGGGACUGGGACACGGCCCAGACUCCUACGGGAGGCAGCAGUGGGGAAUAUUGGACAAUGGGCGAAAGCCUGAUCCAGCAAUGCCUCGUGAGUGAUGAAGGCCUUAGGGUUGUAAAGCUCUUUUACCCGGGAUGAUAAUGACGGUACCGGGAGAAUAAGCACCGGCUAACUCCGUG